AGGAAACAAUAUGAGAGGCUAAUACUGAGAGGACUCAGCCCCCUGCUGAACAAGGAGGAGCAGGAGACAAAGAUUUUUGUGAGGUCUGGGGUUUGAGUGGCUCUGGUAAGGUAGCCUUCCCCAUUCAUUCAUUCAUUCAUUCAAGAUUGAGGACUUGACAUGCACCAGAACAAUUUUGGGUCCUGAGGAUAUGAGAUCAGCCAGACACAGCCCUGAUGGAUCUGGGAGACCCAUUCAUGGAAGCAAGAAAGGAAAUCAGAGAACAAGGCCAGUUUGAACAGGCAGAUAAUGCAAGUUCUGAAGUUCUGAAUGAAAAAAAUUAAGUGAUAUUUACUAUUCUACAGCGACUUGUUGAGGUGCUAAGGAAAGCCAUGCGAUGCCACGCCUGGCAACAAACCCACACUGCUUCAACUUCCUGUGAAGAAAGCCCUACCAUGAUCCCCACCCACAUUAUUUAUUUUGAUGACCCAAACAAAUAAGAAAAUGUAGCCAGGAGUGUUUCCUUCCAUAAUUCAAGUAGUACUGGGUUUUAAUACAAAGGAAAGCAAGAUGCUGGGCAAGUUGGUGUGGUUAAAGACCCUGCACAGGAGUUCUCUUGUGGAAAGUAGCAGAAAACCCACUAAUGUUCAGGAGCUCUGGGAUCUAGUCUUGAUUCCGCCAUACAGCAACUUGCUGUGUUACUAUAUGAGCAUUUCAGAUAAUUUCUCUACGUCUUUAUUUUCCCAUUGUCUCAGUUAAUAUCUUGGUUGCAAGAAACAGGUACCAAAUCAAGUUGGUUUAAUCUAGAUACAGAUAAAUAGAAGGAUAGAUAGCUAAUAGUUCUCAACUGGGGGGUGGUUUUAUCACCCCCCCCAUCCACCCCAAGUGGACAUUUUGCUAUGUCUAGAGGUAUUUUUGGUUGUCAUAACUGGGAGGAUUGAUGCUGUCAUCAACUGGGUAAAGUCCAGGGACUACCCUACAAUGCAUAGGAUGGCCCCCAACAAUAAAGAAUUAUCUGGAUCAAAAUAGUGAUGAGAUUGGGAAUCCCUGAUAUCUCUCUCUCUUUCUCUCUCUCUCUCUUUGUAUAUAUACUAUGUAUAUAAUAUUUAUGUGUGUGUAAUUUUUAAAGCAUAGUAUAUUAUUUCACAAAAUCUAGGGAAAUUUGGGGGGUUGGAAAUCAUGGCUCAGGAAGAGUAGAAAUCAAGCACAUUUUGCAGGUUUUGAGUUCUCAACAGAGUUCAAAGGCCUUCCUCUUAGUGCCCUCUGAUUUCCAGGACUCACUUACAAAUGCCCAUUCUCUGUGAACCUCAGACUGAGGAGAAAUGAAAUAGACACAGCUUGAGUCAGCUGUUCAUUCUGCUCUAGUUGGCUAUGUCCAAGGGGGAAUGUUCAAGCCAAAGUUCAAGCCAGUGACCAUCCUUGGAGACUGGGUCAGGAGCCCUUAGAAAGGUGGAGUUGGGAAAACAGCCCUAAGGAGGCCUAUUACAUUUAUCUAUGAGAUAACAAUAAUGCCACUGCUCUUCUGGAGACCUACUAUCAAAUAAAAGGUUGUGGGCCCCAGGGGAACUUGGAAACAGAAAUGGCAGGUGUCUCCUUUAAAUGGCAUUCAUAAUAUUUCUCUUUUUUUUCUAUCUUGAAGAACAGAUUUCAUUUUUUACACUUCUAUAAAACAAAUGGAACCAUGACUUAUGUUCCACAAUUUCCAUAGCUGAUUUCAUGAACUUUAACAAGUUUUCCUUAUUUAUAGCAGUCCCAAGCUUUAUUCCCUUAGAGAUGUCAGGACGUGGAGGGUAAUUUUGCUGCCUGCCCUCUAUGCUUUAAAGACCAAGUGAAUUGAAAGAACAGUAAAUCCCUGCCCCAACACAAUAAGUGAGGUCCAGAAGAAUUUUACGUGGGGUCUAAAAUUCAAUCAACUAUUCGUGGUCGCGUUAUUUUGAAGCUAAUGAAAUGGAUGCCAGGAACCUGCACAGCUUGCCAGUUGGUAGCGCCAACGGAAGCCCAUGCCAAACUUGGCUGAGUUUGCCGCCAUCUAGUGGCCACUCCCAGCGUCAGUUUACACCUCGCAAUGAACAGGAAGCAGGCCUGUGGCUGGCCAGGACCAGCCUUCAGCAGGCCAUUCUAGGAUUUUCCCGGUUAGCUGUCGCUCUUGGAUUGGUCCAGACCAGGAAGACUAAUUAUUACAGGAUUACUUAAUGAGGAGAUUUUCUGUACUUGGAAACAUAAAGCAAUGGUUUUAACCUUUGUGAGAUUACAGGCCCCUUUGAGAAUCUGCCUAUAUGCAUAUAAUUUUUCACACAAUUUCUAGAGGGUUUUGGGCUUACUGAAGCUAAUCCAUGGACACAAAGGGAAAGACACUGAAUAUAAACCUGAUACAGAUGUUAGCUGGGUGUAAUUGUAAGCCAUUCUGAAGUCGUUUGGAACAGAAAGGGAAAAUGGCAAUGGCAGGUGUGCGAAUAGGAGGAAAUCUACUGCUAACUGGAGGAUAGUAAGAGUCUUAACUGUCCUCUAAAAUGUGCCAAAUGCCCGUGGCUCUUUAGUUGUAUUUAUACAUGCUAUGUAUCUCCACCUUAGCUUUCCACCCUUAAAAUUGGUUCCUUGUUUUACAUGCCUGAGUUUUUCCUGGCCCUUCCUAUUCUCCUCUGGUUUCUAUCCAAAGUCUCUAGUGGACCAACAAUAGGUUUGGGUUGGGAGUCAGAAUACUGCCUGGGAUUAGGCCAGCACCCCCCAUUGGCUGGGUGAGUGAGCAAGUCCUGCACCCUCCCUGGGCUCAGCGUGAGGAUGAGCAUCCUUUAACCCCUCUUAGGAUGGAAUGAGACACUGUGUACAAGUGAAAGACAUUGAAAGAGUCAGAAAUGGUAGACAAUUUUUGGAGUCUGCAAUGUUAUUCCAAAAACAAGUCCUUCUAGGAUACUCCACAGCCUCAGGGUGACUGCUCUGAUCGACAAAGCUAUCGACACU
rnacentral:lncRNA from 1 species